rnacentral:rRNA from 2 species
GGGGACGUAACAAAGCGACCCAGGAAUACUUGGGCGUGCCUCCACCCACGCCGGCGUCGGCGGGCGUAUUUCGCCUCACAGUAGGUCGCCGCGACCCGUUGCUUUUGGGGACGUCGAAGGCCCGGACGGAUUGGUACCCUACCGGCUGGGGAUGCGGCUUCGGCUUCUCCUCUUGUCCGGUGGGCGAAACCGCCGGUGUCCUGGCUGCCCUGCGACGGUCGUAGAGACGAGCCCCUCCCAUUCGUGGGGGGCGGCUCUCGCGGCGUGCAAAAGGUCGGUGAUCCACCCGACCCGUCUUGAAACACGGACCAAGGAGUCUAACAUGUGUGCGAGUCAGUGGGCGCACUAAACCCAGAGGCGUAAUGAAAGUGACACGGGUUCGGCUGUCGCCUCGUGUGGCAGCCGGACUCAGGGCCGAUCCCUCACCGGUUGCCCUCGCCUCUCUCCCGCGUCUCGGUAAGCCGGGUGAGCUAUUUUCCCCGGCCGCUGCUGCGGGGCUCGGGGGGAGGCGGGGUGCGAUGGUGUCCGUAAAAAAGAGCCUGCUGUUGCAGGGGGGCGCAGGCCCGGGACUUGCCAGGACGCCGCGAGACUGUCACUUUGCUGUGAGGCUCCAGGGCCGAUCAGCGGGUCAUGCGUGCAGUCGGCAAGUACCAUGAGCAGACAUGUUGGGACCCGAAAGAUGGUGAACUAUGCCUGGCCAGGAUGAAGCCAGAGGAAACUCUGGUGGAGGUCCGUAGCGAUUCUGACGUGCAAAUCGAUCGUCGGAGCUGGGUAUAGGGGCGA